CCUACGGGAGGCAGCAGUGAGGAAUAUUGGUCAAUGGGCGAGAGCCUGAACCAGCCAAGUCGCGUGAGGGAGUACUGCCCUAUGGGUUGUAAACCUCUUUUGUCGGGGAGCAAAAGCCGGACGUGUCCGGCUGUGAGAGUACCCGAAGAAAAAGCAUCGGCUAACUCCGUGCCAGCAGCCGCGGUAAUACGGAGGAUGCGAGCGUUAUCCGGAUUUAUUGGGUUUAAGGGGUGCGCAGGCGGAUUUUUAAGUCAGCGGUAAAAUCGUGGGGCUCAACCCCAUCCAGUCGUUGAAACUGGGGAUCUAGAGUGUGCGAGAGGUAUGCGGAAUGCGUGGUGUAGCGGUGAAAUGCAUAGAUAUCACGCAGAACCCCGAUUGCGAAGGCAGCAUACCGGUGCACAACUGACGCUCAGGCACGAAAGCGUGGGUAUCGAACAGGAUUAGAUACCCCAGUAGUC
rnacentral:rRNA from 1 species